CACGUAGGGUGCGAGCGUUGUCCGGAAUUAUUGGGCGUAAAGAGCUCGUAGGCGGUGUGUCGCGUCGGCCGUGAAAACCUGCAGCUUAACUGUGGGCUUGCGGUCGAUACGGGCAUCACUGGAGUUCGGCAGGGGAGACUGGAAUUCCUGGUCGUAGCGGUGAAAUGCGCAGAUAUCAGGAGGAACACCGGUGGCGAAGGCGGGUCUCUGGGCCCGAUACUGACGCUGAGGAGCGAAAGCGUGGGGAGCGAACAGG
rnacentral:rRNA from 1 species